rnacentral:rRNA from 1 species
GACGAACGCUGGCGGCGUGCUUAACACAUGCAAGUCGAACGAAGUGGCGAACGGGUGAGUAACGCGUAAUCAACCUGCCCUUCAGAGGGGGACAACAGUUGGAAACGACUGCUAAUACCGCAUACUGAAGGAGGGGUAUGCGUGGGAUUAGCUAGUUGGGGGGGUAACGGCCCACCAAGGCGAAGGUCAGUAGCCGGGCUGAGAGGAUGAACGGCCACAUUUGGACUGAGACACGGCCCAGACUCCUACGGGAGGCAGCAGGGGGGAAUCUUCCGCAAUGGACGAAAGUCUGACGGAGGAACGCCGCGUGAGUGAUGACGGCCUUCGGGUUGUAAAGCUCUGUUAAGCGGGACGCGGUACCGGAAUAGAAAGCCACGGCUAACUACGUGCCAGCCGCCGCGGUAAUAC